UACAGAGGUCUCAAGCGUUGUUCGGAUUCAUUGGGCGUAAAGGGUGCGUAGGCGGCGUGGUAAGUCGGAUGUGAAAUCUCGGAGCUUAACUCCGAAACUGCAUUCGAUACUGCGGUGCUUGAGGACUGGAGAGGAGACUGGAAUUCAUGGUGUAGCAGUGAAAUGCGUAGAGAUCAUGAGGAAGACCGGUGGCGAAGGCGGCUACCUGGACAGAAACUGACGCUGAGGCGCGAAAGCUAGGGGAGCAAACAGG
rnacentral:rRNA from 1 species